GUCAGGAUUGCCAAGCGGUCUAAGGCGCUGCGUUCAGGUCGCAGUCUCCCUGGAGGUGUGGGUUCGAAUCCCACUUCUGACA
rnacentral:tRNA from 1 species